AUUGAACGCUGGCGGCAGGCCUAACACAUGCAAGUCGAGCGAGCCGCGGGCGUGUGUGUAGUGUGGGGAGAUCUGCGCGAGAGAGGGGGAUCACCACUGGAAACGGUGGCUAAUAACGCAAAAUCACGGAUGCACCCAUAUGGGAUUAGCUAGUAGGUGGGGUAACGGCUCACCGAGGCGACGACCUCUAGCGGGUCUGAGAGUAUGAGCAGCCACACGGGAACUGAGACACGGCCCAGACUCCUAUGGGAGGCAGCAGUGGGGAAUAUUGCACAAUGGGCGAAAGCCUGAUGCAGCCAUGCCGCGUGUAUGAAGAAGGCCUUAGGGUUGUAAAGCAAUGUCAGCGUGGAGGCGUUACCCGCAGAAGAAGCACCGGCUAACUCCGUGCCAGCAGCCGCGGUAAUUC
rnacentral:rRNA from 1 species